rnacentral:lncRNA from 1 species
AACGACGUCGUGGAGAGUAGAAUAAAGUCAAAGGCGGUUCUCCCGGACUUAUUGAUAUGUCGUCGUUUCGCAAAAAGUGCAACAUACCCGGCAUCUUAGAAAAGGUCGUCUUCACCACGAGCGCCCUACCCCAAAAUUCCGUGACCCAAGCCUCCUUUCCCGAAAUCCACACUCUUCCCUACCCACCCUCCUAGAGUUUCUGGUCCAAACAAACACAGCCAUGGCUAUGCAAAGCGGAAUAGGGUUUUCCAAGAUCCUGAUCUUAGCUGGAGCAGGUACUAAUCACUCGUCUUUCAUCUUGCAUACUGGGUUAGUUUCCUUGUGUAUUUAGCUGUAUUUGAUCUGAGUGAUUGUUCUCUCUGUACAGGGUAUACUAGCACCAUCCUGCUUAAGAAUGGUAAAUUAUCUGACUUGAUCGGUGAACUUCAGGUACUAUUUUCAUAAUUUUUACUCUGCUUUGCUAGUGGAACUUGUAGCAAAUUUUUAUUUGGUAUUAUUUUUGUAUGAGUUUUUAAUUUUUUAAUGCAUUUGGUAAACUAGGGUUUUGAUCAGUUAGAUAGUUUAUUUAUUUAGGAGCUUGUGUCCUGUUGCUGAAAAAAUUGAUGGUUUUGUGUUUAUUUCUGUUUUGUUUGCAGUCUUUGUUGAAUGGAACCGGAGAACAAUAAGCUGGUGACUUUGAUGCGAUCGCAUCACAGGUAUUGGAAAAACUGCUAUAAAUUUAGUGUCGAAGGAUGCUUUAUCGUGUUCAAUUUUUGUUUUUUCUAAUGGAUAUCAAUUUUCCUGUGUUACUUUCUUUUAGGUGCGCCGACUGGCAGCUGAGGUCCAGCAACUUGGCUCGUCACGACAGAUAACCGUCCUGAAGGGGAAUGACAGCCAAAUUGGUAUCUUACUUUCUCUUAUGUGUUCAAAUGAAUUCUUAGCAUGCUUUCUGCUUUUUCCUCUUGCUUAUAACCACUAAAUUAAUGCAUGGUCCUGCCCUUCCUUUUUGGUUAAGUUCUAAAACUUCUAUUCCUUACACGUAUGUAUUUCAUAAUGCAAUAGAAACAUUUUAUAAUUGGUUAUCUGUUUUCAUUGAUUUUUUUAAUAGGUUUGACAUCACUAAUAAUGCCAGCAGCUACCUUGGGGGCAUUGGGUUAUGGUUACAUGUGGUGGAAGGUAUCCAGAUGAUAUAUGUAUGUUUAUAUUAUUUCAUCCAUUGGUUCUGUGAGUUGUUGUCUUCUUUAAGCAAAUCUAAUAUUUCCUCUUCACAAAUGGUUAGGGUCUAAAAUUCUCAGAUCUUAUGUAUGUGACAAAGCGUAGUAUGACUGCUGCUAUUUUAAACUUGCAUAAACAUCUGGAGAGCGUGACAGAGGCUAUUGCU